ensembl:lncRNA
CUGAGAAAAAAAUUGUAAUGACUUCCGUUUUAACUAUGAUUUACCACAUCCUGCUGGCGAUGUAUCUGAUGAUGUUGGUCGAGGGAGACACCGCUCUCCUGGGCCUCCACCUCAGCAGGCACCACAUCUGCCUGCUGGUUCAGAUCGCCUGCUACACCUACGACCUCCUCCUCUAGCCCGUGGUGUUUCUGACCACUACUGGACCACACUGGGUCCAUCGGAGACCGCCAUGACCCGGGGUGAAAUUUCCCUUAUGUACAGAUCUAGGAACAGCUUCUCCUCCCCCGAUCCUAACCUUAACCAGUGGUGGGAAAAAUGCAAACCUGACCCAAGAUCAGCAACUACAGGCAACUUCACCCUACACCCUAAAUUUUUUUUUACAAAAUUAAAAAAGCCAGAAAUGUUCAAUAUGCACAAAAAGCUUUAGUUCUCUCUAAUUUUUCACACAUUUGUUUACAUCCCUGUGUUUGAACAUUUCCCCGUUGCCAAGAUAAUCCAUCCACCUGACAGGUGUGGCAUACCAAGAAGCUGAUUAAACAGCAUGGCCAUUACACAGGUGCACCUUGUGCUGGGGACAAAAGGCCACUAAAAUGUGCAGUUGUGUCACAACACAAUGCCACAGAUGUCUCAAGUUGAGGGAGCGUACAAUUGGCAUGCUGAUUGCAGGAAUGUCCACCAGCGCUGUUGCCAGAGAAUGUAAUGUUCAAUUCUCUACCAUAAGCCACCUCCGUCAUUUUAGAGAAUUUGGCAGGACGUCCAACUGGCCUCCCAAUCGCAGACCACGUGUAUGGUUUUGUCUGGGUGAGUGGUUUGCUGAUGUCAAUGUUGUGAACAGAGUGCCCCAUAGUGGCUGUGUGGUCAUGGUAUUGGCAGGCAUAAGCUACAGACAACAAACACAAUUGCAUUUUAUCAAUGGCAAUUUGAAUGCACAGAGAUACCAUGAUGAGAUCCUGAGGCCCAUUGUCGUGCCAUUCAUCCGCCGCCAUCACCUCUUGUUUUAGCACGAUAAUGCACGGCCCCAUGUCACAAGGAUCUGUACAUAAUUCCUGGAAGCUGAAAAUGUCCCAGUUCUUCCACAGCCUGCAUACUCAGACAUUUCACCCUUUGAGCAUGUUUGGGAUGCUCUGGAGCAACAUGUACGACAAUAUCAAGUAUCUUCGCACAGCCAUUGUGAAGUAAAAUAUUUUAAAUUGUUAUUUUUUUGUUCAGUAUGAUCCCUGCUGUAUAAGUAGUUGUUUUUUUUAAACGUUAUUUAUAGUGUUGGUAUAUACUUUGACUGACUGAUGUACAGCUAAUUGCCUAUCAGGGAUAAUAAAGAUAAUAUUAUCGAUCAG